rnacentral:rRNA from 1 species
AGAGUUUGAUCAUGGCUCAGGAUGAACGCUGGCGGCGUGCUUAACACAUGCAAGUCGAACGGUGAACCAGAGCUUGCUCUGGGGAUCAGUGGCGAACGGGUGAGUAACACGUGGGCAACCUGCCCCAGACUCUGGGAUAACUCCGGGAAACCGGAGCUAAUACCGGAUAUGACUACUUCGGACAUCCGACGGUAGUGGAAAGUUUUUCGGUCUGGGAUGGGCCCGCGGCCUAUCAGCUAGUUGGUGGGGUAAUGGCCUACCAAGGCGACGACGGGUAGCCGGCCUGAGAGGGCGACCGGCCACACUGGAACUGAGACACGGUCCAGACUCCUACGGAAGGCAGCAGUGGGGAAUAUUGCACAAUGGGCGAAAGCCUGAUGCAGCGACGCCGCGUGAGGGACGACGGCCUUCGGGUUGUAAACCUCUUUCAGCAGGGACGAAGCGAAAGUGACUGUACCUGCAGAAGAAGCACCGGCUAACUACGUG